AUGGCACAUAAUAGAGCCCCUGGCCCUGACAACAUUCCUAUUGAAUUCUACCAGGUGUGCUGGGAUAUUGUUAAAGAGGACCUUAUGAGGUUGUUUUCGAGCUUUCAUAAUGGGACUUUGGAUGUCCAACGUCUAAACUAUGGGGUGAUCACCCUUUUGCCCAAAUCUGCGGGCGCGGAUAAAAUUCAACAAUUUAGGCCUAUCUGUCUCCUGAGAUGUCCAUACAAACUUAUUACUAAAGUUUUGGAUCGGCGAGUGGAGAAAUACGCUGAUAAGCUCAUUAGCUCGACCCAAAAUGCUUUUAUCAAGGGAAGAAGCAUCAUGGACGGGGUGUUGUCACUACAUGAGAUUCUGAAUUAUACCCAUGUGAAAAAGAGGGUGGGGGUCGUCCUGAAACUUGACUUUGAGAAAGCGUAUGAUAAGGUGAACUGGGACUUUUUGUUAGAUUGUCACAAGCUUCGAGGUUUCAGUGACACAUGGUGCAACUGGAUCAAGCAGAUCCUACACAAUGGUACUAUGAGUAUCAAGCUUAAUAAUCAGGUUGGUCCCUACUUUCAGAGCGCUAAAGAUGUGCCACAGGGGGAUCCCCACUCCCCUUUCCUGUUCAAUCUAGCAGCUGAUUGUCUUGCAAAGAUGAUCACCAAUGCCCAAAACAAUAACUUGCUGGUGGGUUUGGCUUCGGACCUCAUCCCGAAUGGAGUUGCGGUACUCCAAUAUGAUGACGACACUAUUAUCUGCCUGGAACACGAUGUUGAUAAGGCAGUAAACCUGAAGUUACCAUUGUACAUCUUCGAGCUUAUGUCUGGACUUAAAGUGAACUAUCAGAAAAGAGGGAUUUUCACUGUAGGAGGCGAUGAGAGCACACUGAAAUGCUAUGCUGAGUUGUUUAACUUUGACGUGGGUAGCUUCCCCAUCAAGUACCUCGGUAUGCCUGUUAGUUAUUCCACCCUUAGAGAUUCUGACUGGGAGUUCAUAGUGGCCAAGUACCUUAAAAGAUUUGAGGCUUGGAUUGGUAAUGCUGCAUCCAUGGGGGGCAGACUGACUUUGUUGGAUUCAGUUGUCACCCAAAUAUCCUUGUAUCAUAUGUCUAUGUGGCUUAUGAGCAAAACAUUCAUUGAAAAGCUUGAUAAACAUAGAAGGAAAUUCUUUUGGCAAGGCUGUAACAAGAAAAGGAGAUAUCAUUUGGUUAAAUGGGGCAGAAUAUGUAGAUCUCGAGAAAAAGGUGGCCUGGGAGUUAAAGAUCUUCGUAAACAAAACAUUAGCUUGAUGGUCAAAUGGUGGUAG
rnacentral:rRNA from 1 species